rnacentral:lncRNA from 1 species
GGAGAGAUCCAUCCGUUGUAAUACGAUUAUUUCGUCGUGAUUAUUAAAGAAAUCAUCGUAAAUAAGAAGAUUCUACCUAGUAAAAACAUAUAAAAGAUGACACUAGUUACGCGCAUGUUUCUACAUAACCUACAGCUUCGGAAUGAUAAUAUAGCCCUGCCUAACUAUGCAAGAACGAAACCCUACAAUGCUAGCAAGUCAAACUGCCUAUCGUCCUACAGCCCUAGCCCUAGCCAUACCUACACAGAAAAUAUAUAAAUAGAUACAUAGGGCGGGAUACCUGCACCAUGAGACCUAAGGCAACAGGCGGAUAGUGGAAAGGAGAAGGUGUAGGAAGGAUUUUCUUACUGCCAAUCACACAGACUCAUGUGACCGUGGUUAGGCUAAAGGUGUCUUGGCCACAGUAAGAGGAUACUGAAAGUGACACAAAGAAAAUAAUAUAAGCAUGCACAGUGAGAUAAAACAAAAAUGACAUGGACAUACACAGUGAAAUUAAAGUGAAAUAAUAAUAAAUAAAACAAGCAGAAUAUGACAACUGUACUUAUUAUAAAAUUAAAUAAUAUUAGAAUGUUGAUGAUAA